rnacentral:lncRNA from 1 species
GAAUAAAAAAAUAAAAUCUUAAAAGAAAAAAAAAAGUUUCCUCCAACCCCACAGAAGCCAGUAGCAUUGCCUGAAAUGAAUAAAAUGGGGUAGCCUGUGUGACAAAAGAAGACAGUAAGUUCAAUUUGGGACAGGUUCAGUUUGAGGUGUUUAGAUGGGCCCUGGGCAGGUUAGGUAAUCUCUCUGUACUACUUCGUCUGAAAAAUGGGAUAAUAACAUAAAUACUUGAUAGGUCAUUGUGAAAAUUCAAUGAAUUAGUGUGUGCAAACUAUAACUGUGCAGUGCAUAAUAAAUUCUACACAUGUUAAUCAUUAUGAUGUGUCGGGAAGCCUGGGUGGCAGUGGUUGAGCGUCUGCCUUCCGCUCAGGGCAUGAUCCCAGGAUCACUUCUGGGAUCCAGUACUGCACCGGGCUUGCCCCACAAGGAGCCUGCUUCUCCCUCUGCCUGUGUCUCUGCCUCUCUCUGUGUCUCUCAUGAAUAAAUAAAAUCUUUUUAAAAAAUCAUUAUGAUGGGUCUAGAACUCUAGUUUGAACUAUAGAUAGCAAUACAGCAGUUGUCUACAUGUUAAUGACUACUGAUGAUAUGCAAGGAACAGAGCAAAAGAGAACGCCAGGAGGAGUGGAUCCAAAAGAGGACACGAGCUACCAGGGAGGCAGAUGGAGAACCUGCAGCCCCCAGGCUGGAAAACAGUCUAGAGAGAGACUGCCUUCUCCUGCUUAAGGGGAGCAGCUUCAAAGAACCUGAAUGUCCCCAACUUAACCAAGGGGCUGGAAAAUACUUUUCUAAGUAUUGAGAACAGAACUGCUGCAGCGCCAGCAGGAAUACGUGGCCCAACAGCCAAGAAAGGAAGUCCCAUGUUAGAGCACGGGAUGCAGACAGGGCUUUCACUCCAGGAUCUGCAGGAAGGACGAGCUAAGGUCUGGCCACCAUGUGCCACCACUGCCAGGGAUCAAAGGCUUUACCUACGUUACAAAGGCUCUUGAAGUCUGUGUUGGUUUCCUCGGCGCCUGCCACCUUCAGGGACAUCCGACGCCACACGCGGCCUGGGAGCCCAGAGGGCCAGAAGGGCCUCACCGACGCCGGAAGUAGAACCAAGCCCCGCGCGCAGGCUGGAAGAUCAACCCCCAAACUAAGCAACCUGUUCCUACAACAGAUACUUGUGAAGAAGAAACUUGCUAGGGGACCAUAAUAGGAAGAUUCAUUAAAAAUGACCCAUGGAACUCUAUUUUAAGAGAAUCGCAGAAAAGAGAUAACAGAUAAUUGAGACAAAAUAGUUGAGAAAAUUUAGGGAUGCUGGGUGGCUCAGCAGGUGAGCCUCUGCCUUCUGCCCAGGGUGUGAUCUUGGGGUCAGGGGGUCAAGUCCCCCACUGGGCUCCCUGUAUGGAGCCUGCUUCUCCCUCUGCCUUUGUCUCUGCCUCUCUCUGUGUCUCUAAUGAAUGAAUGAAUGAAUGAAUAAAUAAAUAAAUAAAUAAAUAAAUAAAUAAAUGUUUUAAAAAUAGUUGAGAAAAUUU